rnacentral:rRNA from 1 species
CCUACGGGUGGCAGCAGUAGGGAAUUUUGCGCAUUUGGGGAAACCCUGACGCAGCAACGCCGCGUGAUCGAUGAAGCCCUUCGGGGUGUAAGGAUCUGUCAGUGGGGACGAAACCUGACGGUACCCACAGAGGAAGCACCGGCUAACUCCGUGCCAGCAGCCGCGGUAAUACGGGGGGUGCAAGCGUUAUCCGGAUUUAUUGGGUUUAAAGGGUGCGUAGGCUGUGAGGUAAGUCAGCGGUGAAAUGCCCCCGCUCAACGGGGUGAAGUGCCAUUGAUACUGCCUUGCUGGAAUGCGGAUGCCGUGGGAGGAAUGGGUGGGGUAGCGGUGAAAUGCAUAGAUAUCACACAGAACACCGAUUGCGAAGGCAUCUCACGAAUCCGCGAUUGACGCUGAUGCACGAAAGCGUGGGUAUCAAACAGGAUUAGAUACCCCUGUAGUC